AUUGGGCGUAAGCGCGCGCAGGCGGUUCCUUAAGUCUGAUGUGAAAGCCCCCGGCUCAACCGGGGAGGGUCAUUGGAAACUGGGGAACUUGAGUGCAGAAGAGAAGAGUGGAAUUCCACGUGUAGCGGUGAAAUGCGUAGAGAUGUGGAGGAACACCAGUGGCGAAGGCGACUCUUUGGUCUGUAACUGACGCUGAGGCGCGAAAGCGUGGGGAGCAAACAGGAUUAGAUACCCUGGUAGUCCACGCCGUAAACGAUGAGUGCUAAGUGUUAGAGGGUUUCCGCCCUUUAGUGCUGCAACAAACGCAUUAAGCCCUCCGCCUGGGGAGUACGGCCGCAACGGUCAAACUCAUAGGAAUUGACGGG
rnacentral:rRNA from 2 species